UCCAGAGGGUGCAAGCGUUAAUCGGAAUUACUGGGCGUAAAGCGUGCGUAGACGGUUAUGUAAGUCGGGUGUGAAAGCCCCGGGCUCAACCUGGGAAUUGCAUUCGAGACUGUGUAGCUAGGGUACGGAAGAGGGAAGCGGAAUUUCAGGUGUAGCGGUGAAAUGCGUAGAUAUCUGAAGGAACACCAGUGGCGAAAGCGGCUUCCUGGUCCAGUACCGACGUUCAGGCACGAAAGCGUGGGGAGCAAACAGG
rnacentral:rRNA from 1 species